AGAUUGAACGCUGGCGGCAGGCCUAACACAUGCAAGUCGAGCGGCAGCACGGGUACUUGUACCUGGUGGCGAGCGGCGGACGGGUGAGUAAUGCCUAGGAAUCUGCCUGGUAGUGGGGGAUAACGCUCGGAAACGGACGCUAAUACCGCAUACGUCCUACGGGAGAAAGCAGGGGACCUUCGGGCCUUGCGCUAUCAGAUGAGCCUAGGUCGGAUUAGCUAGGUUGGUGAGGUAAUGGCUCACCAAGGCGACGAUCCGUAACUGGUCUGAGAGGAUGAUCGAGUCACACGUGGAACUGGACGACACGGUCCAGACCUCCGA
rnacentral:rRNA from 1 species